rnacentral:pre_miRNA from 1 species
AAUAUAAGUGCUGGAUCAUAUGGUAAAUAUGUUUGGCAUUCUGAGGAACUGGCAAACUUUUCUAAAGGGGCUGUACUAUUUUACACUCCCAUUAGCAAU